CACUCUCUAACCCAAAAUACAUCUCUGCUGUGCCUGUUCACCGUAUUAUACUGUAGUGCUUAUUAUUAUAAAACAUAUGCUAUCAAUUAAGUGGCAGUGGAUAUGGUUAGGAAUUAUGCAACAGGAUUGAAUAACACCAUAUCCUCUAUUGCAUCAGGUCAAAGCAUGAGACUGGUAUUCAGAGUUGUUCAUACAAGUCAAUUCGUUUCUAUUUCAAAUUGUAUUUAUUUUACAAGGACAAACAUUGUAUCGUUAUAUCCAAUUUACAGUGUGUAAAUAUAAUUCAAUUCCCUGUUGCAUUUCUUAGUUUCUCUCCCCUAUUUUCUUUUUGGUUUAAUUUUUAGAUGCUAACUGAAUUAAUCGUGAAACGUAUGAACGGAUUAGGGAUGAAUUUCAUCUAUCGUCAUUAUUUGACAUAACAAUAAUAAAAUAGAUAUUCCAUUUAAAAAAAUGUUGUUCUCUAUUGAUAGUAUGGUCAUUAUCACUUCCUUUCACAAUUCUUUCACUUUCCAAAUGACUGCUUUACUUUCAGGAACCCAUGCCAUUUUUGUGAUGCAAAAAAAUUGUAGGCCUAUUUGUUGAUAAGAUCAUGUUGUUAUGGCAAUGAAAACGCCCUCAGCUGCUAUGGAGCCAGUUUCCUGCCAUAAUUCAAACCUGAAAAAAAAUGUUUCAAAGGCUUGUGGGGACCAACAUGGUGGAGUACAUUCAUCAAUCCGAGAGGAGUCAACCAAGUCCUCAUAUUCUGUGCCUCGGAGAUGAAUUUAAGACAAGUCAAGCAUGUACACGAGUGAGGGAGGGUGUAAAAUACUUUCAAUAAAUCCAUAU
ensembl:lncRNA